CAUGUGGUUAAUUCGAUGAUACGCGAGACUUACUGGGCUUAAAUGUAGAGUGCAUUUUUUAGAGAUAGAAAUUCCCUUCGGGGCUUUCUGCAAGGUGCUGCAUGGUUGUCGUCAGCUCGUGCCGUGAGGUGUCGGGUUAAGUCCCAUUAACGAGCGCAACCCUUAUCGUUAGUUGCCAGCUGGUAAAGCAGGGGACUCUAGCGAAACUGCCACCGUAAGGUGAGAGGAAGGUGGGAUGACGUCAAAUCAGCACGGCCCUUAUGUCCAGGGCUACACACGUGUUACAAUGGCCGGCACAGAGGGCAGCUACCUGGUGACAGGAUGCUAAUCUCGAAAACCGGUCUCAGUUCGGAUCGAAGUCUGCAACUCGACUUCGUGAAGCUGGAUUCGCUAGUAAUCGCGCAUCAGCUAUGGCGCGGUGAAUACGUUCCCGGGUCUU
rnacentral:rRNA from 1 species